rnacentral:rRNA from 1 species
GACGAACGCUGGCGGCGUGCUUAACACAUGCAAGUCGAACGGAAAGGCACUGCUUUUGUGGGGUGCUCGAGUGGCGAACGGGUGAGUAACACGUGAGUAACCUGCCCUUGACUUUGGGAUAGCUUCAGGAAACUGGGGCUAAUACCGGAUAGGAGCUCCUGCUGCAUGGUGGGGGUUGGAAAGUUUCGGCGGUUGGGGAUGGACUCGCGGCUUAUCAGCUUGUUGGUGGGGUAGUGGAUUACCAAGGCUUUGACGGGUAGCCGGCCUGAGAGGGUGACCGGCCACAUUGGGACUGAGAGACGGCCCAGACUCCUACGGGAGGCAGCAGUGGGGAAUAUUGCACAAUGGGCGGAAGCCUGAUGCAGCAACGCCGCGUGCGGGAUGACGGCCUUCGGGUUGUAAACCGCUUUCGCCUGUGACGAAGCGUGAGUGACGGUAAUGGGUAAAGAAGCACCGGCUAACUACGUG